rnacentral:lncRNA from 1 species
ACCCGCCGCCUAACUGCGAAGCUAUAAAUAGUACCGUACAGAUUUUGUCAAUUUACAAAUAGAGGACUCUAUUACGCUUUGUACUGGUGUAGUUCUGCAGUAUCGAAUGCGGUAAAUAAUUAGACCAGCAGGAGGGAGAAAUAGGUGAGUGAGAGAGGCAGAUGGAUCCGUACGGAGGAGCAGGAAAGUCCGUGAAGCGAACUUGGAAGCCGUGUCACUGACCCGGUCCGCAGAAGCCCCCGACUCGAGCCGGGCCCCGGAAGUUACCGCGCCUUGCGUCCCACCGCGGUUGCCCGCAGUUCACCAUGAACCGGUGCCCG